rnacentral:rRNA from 1 species
AGAGCGAACGCUGGCGGCAGGCCUAACACAUGCAAGUCGAACGGACUCUUCGGAGUUAGUGGCGGACGGGUGAGUAACACGUGGGAACGUGCCUUUUGGUUCGGAAUAGCUCCUGGAAACGGGUGGUAAUGCCGAAUGUGCCCUUCGGGGGAAAGAUUUAUCGCCAUUAGAGCGGCCCGCGUCUGAUUAGCUAGUUGGUGAGGUAAAGGCUCACCAAGGCGACGAUCAGUAGCUGGUCUGAGAGGAUGACCAGCCACAUUGGGACUGAGACACGGCCCAAACUCCUACGGGAGGCAGCAGUGGGGAAUCUUGCGCAAUGGGCGAAAGCCUGACGCAGCCAUGCCGCGUGAAUGAUGAAGGUCUUAGGAUUGUAAAAUUCUUUCACCGGGACGAUAAUGACGGUACCGGAGAAGAAGCCCGGCUAACUUCGCGCCAGCAGCCGC